CUAGAGCAUCGCGCACCUCGUCAAGCCCGGCAGGCAGCAAGCGCCGCGGUGCACGC
rnacentral:SRP_RNA from 14 species